rnacentral:rRNA from 1 species
AGAUUAAGUUAUUAAGGGCGCACGGUGGAUGCCUUGGCACUAGAAGCCGAUGAAGGACGUUACUAACGACGAUAUGCUUUGGGGAGCUGUAAGUAAGCUUUGAUCCAGAGAUUUCCGAAUGGGGAAACCCAGCAUGAGUUAUGUCAUGUUAUCGAUAUGUGAAUACAUAGCAUAUCAGAAGGCACACCCGGAGAACUGAAACAUCUUAGUACCCGGAGGAAGAGAAAGAAAAUUCGAUCCCCUUAGUAGCGGCGAGCGAAACGGGAAGAGCCCAAACCAACAAGCUUGCUUGUUGGGGUUGUAGGACACUCUAUACGGAGUUACAAAGGACGACAUUAGACGAAUCAUCUGGAAAGAUGAAUCAAAGAAGGUAAUAAUCCUGUAGUCGAAAAUGUUGUCUCUCUUGAGUGGAUCCUGAGUACGACGGAGCACGUGAAAUUCCGUCGGAAUCUGGGAGGACCAUCUCCUAAGGCUAAAUACUCUCUAGUGACCGAUAGUGAACCAGUACCGUGAGGGAAAGGUGAAAAGCACCCCGGAAGGGGAGUGAAAUAGAACCUGAAACCGUGUGCUUACAAGUAGUCAGAGCCCGUUAAUGGGUGAUGGCGUGCCUUUUGUAGAAUGAACCGGCGAGUUACGAUUUGAUGCAAGGUUAAGCAGUAAAUGUGGAGCCGUAGCGAAAGCGAGUCUGAAUAGGGCGUUUAGUAUUUGGUCGUAGACCCGAAACCAGGUGAUCUACCCUUGGUCAGGUUGAAGUUCAGGUAACACUGAAUGGAGGACCGA